rnacentral:rRNA from 1 species
GAUGAACGCUGGCGGCGUGCCUAAUACAUGCAAGUCGAGCGAACAGACGAGGAGCUUGCUCCUCUGACGUUAGCGGCGGACGGGUGAGUAACACGUGGAUAACCUACCUAUAAGACUGGGAUAACUUCGGGAAACCGGAGCUAAUACCGGAUAAUAUAUUGAACCGCAUGGUUCAAUAGUGAAAGACGGUUUUGCUGUCACUUAUAGAUGGAUCCGCGCCGCAUUAGCUAGUUGGUAAGGUAACGGCUUACCAAGGCGACGAUGCGUAGCCGACCUGAGAGGGUGAUCGGCCACACUGGAACUGAGACACGGUCCAGACUCCUACGGGAGGCAGCAGUAGGGAAUCUUCCGCAUUGGGCGAAAGCCUGACGGAGCAACGCCGCGUGAGUGAUGAAGGUCUUCGGAUCGUAAAACUCUGUUAUUAGGGAAGAACAAAUGUGUAAGUAACUAUGCACGUCUUGACGGUACCUAAUCAGAAAGCCACGGCUAACUACGUG